AUGCAUCUGAAUGUACUACAGAUGCAAGAAAAAGAAGGUCCUUGUACUUUCCGUCUGUCUGGUUAUGGCAGUCAAGACUGAAUGGAGGAAUACAGGA
rnacentral:snoRNA from 1 species